UAUUAGAGCUAAAAUCAAAGUCGGACCAUACCGAAUUCUGCGAGUAAUGGCAGAAGAAUACAAUAAUGUAGCAAAAGUAUAGCAAAAUCGUCGUUUAUUUAACGGAAAAAGGAAAUAUGCCUAGCCAGAAAACACAGAUAUGUAAAGCCCAAGAAGUGUGUGAUUGACAGAAUGAAUGAAGAAGCACAAAAGCUAGGAUGAAAACAACAAAUAGCAAAUAUCUUUGCAAAUAUGAGGGAUCGUUAAAGAAAGCUAAGACAUUGUUUACUGUUGUAAACUAGCUGUAUUAAGGAAAUUUCGGAAAAGGAAAGAAAACCAGGGGUUAAAUUACAGUACCAAACACUUUGACUUUUUCUUGUGAGGAACAGGAGGAUCAAGAGCGGCUACAAUAGCUUCAUCAAAAACAUUCUUUAACCCUUUUUGGGUCAAAGCGGAACACUCAACAUACUUGACAGCACCCAACUCACGAGCUAAUCGUUCACCUUGCUCAUGUGUAAGGGGAUGCUGAUGCUGGCGAGCUAGUUUCUGUUGCACAGAAGGGUCAUCACGUAAAUCAAUUUGGGUACCAACAAUUAAGCACGGGACGCCCGGACAAUGAUGAUGAACUUCGGGAAACCACUUUUCUUUCACAUUUUCAAAACUGGCAGGAGAAGUUACACUAAAACAAACCAAAAAGACGUCUGUUUGAGGAUAGGAUAAAGGACGCAAGCGAUCAUAAUCCUCCUGACCAGCGGUAUCGAAU